AGAGUUUGAUCCUGGCUCAGAACGAACGCUGGCGGCGUGGAUUAGGCAUGCAAGUCGAACGGGAAAGUUCGCUUCGGCGGACGAGUAUAGUGGCGAACGGGUGAGUAACACGUGAGUAACUUGCCCUCCAGUGGGGGAUAAGGCCUGAAAGGCCGGUAAUACCGCAUGUGCUCCGGUUGCCUUAUGGCGGCCGGAGGAAAGCUGGGGAUCUUCGGACCUGGCGCUGGAGGAUAGGCUCGCGUUCUAUUAGCUAGUUGGUGGGGUAACGGCCUACCAAGGCUAUGAUGGAUAGCUGGUCUGAGAGGAUGGUCAGCCACACUGGGAUUGAGAUACGGCCCAGACUCCUACGGGAGGCAGCAGUCUAGAAGCUUCGGCAAUGGGCGAGAGCCUGACCGAGCGACGCCGCGUGUGUGAGGAAGGUUUUCGGAUCGUAAAGCACUUUCAGCGGGGAAGAACCACGACGGGGCCAAUACCCCCGACGUCUGACGGUACCCGCAGAAGAAGCUCCGGCUAACUCCGUGCCAGCAGCCGCGGUGAGACGGGGGGAGCAAGCGUUGUUCGGAUUUAUUGAGCGUAAAGGGCGCGCAGGCGGUUGGGCAAGUUCGGCGUGAAAUCUCCACGGCUUAACCGGGAAGUUGCGUCGAAUACUGCCUGACUUGAGUGCAGGAGAGGAGAGCGGAAUUUCCGGUGUACCGGUGAAAUGGGUAGAUAUCGGAAGGAACACCAGUGGCGAAGGCGGCUCUCUGGCCUGUGACUGACGCUGAGGCGCGAAAAGCCAGGGGAGCGAACGGGAUUAGAUACCCCGGUAGUCCUGGCCGUAAACGAUGGGCACUAGGUGUGGGGAGGUAUCGACCCUCUCCGUGCCGCAGCUAACGCAUUAAGUGCCCCGCCUGGGGAGUACGACCGCAAGGUUGAAACUCAAAGGAAUUGACGGGGCCCCGCACAAGCGGUGGAGCGUGCGGCUUAAUUCGAUGCAACGCGAAGAACCUUACCAGGGCUUGACAUUACCGCAAGGUGCCUGGCGCCGGGUAAAUCCGGUUGCUAUAGGCAAACAGGUGCUGCAUGGCUGUCGUCAGCUCGUGUCGUGAGAUGUUGGGUUAAGUCCCGCAACGAGCGCAACCCUUGUCCUUAGUUACCAGCGGAUCAUGCCGGGAACUCUAAGGAGACUGCCGGUGACAAACCGGAGGAAGGUGGGGAUGAUGUCAAGUCAGCAUGGCCCUUAUGUCCUGGGCUGCACGCGCGCUACAAUGGCAGGUACAGUGGGUUGCAAAACCGCGAGGUCGAGCUAAUCCCAAAAAGCCUGCCCCAGUUCGGAUUGGGGUCUGCAACUCGACCCCAUGAAGUUGGAAUCGCUAGUAAUCGCGGAUCAGCUACGCCGCGGUGAAUACGUUCCCGGGGCUUGUACACACCGCCCGUCAAGUGACCCGAGUCGGGUGCUCCCGAAGUCGCUCACCCAACCCGUAAGGGAGGGAGGUGCCGAAGGAGUGCCCGGUAAGGGGGACUAAGUCGU
rnacentral:rRNA from 1 species